rnacentral:rRNA from 1 species
UACGUAGGUGACAAGCGUUGUCCGGAUUUACUGGGCGUAAAGAGCGCGCAGGCGGUCGAUCAAGUCGAGUGUGAAAGCCCCCGGCUCAACUGGGGAGGGUCACGCGAUACUGAUCGACUCGAAGGCAGGAGAGGGUAGUGGAAUUCCCGGUGUAGUGGUGAAAUGCGUAGAUAUCGGGAGGAACACCAGUGACGAAGGCGACUACCUGGCCUGUUCUUGACGCUGAGGCGCGAAAGCUAGGGGAGCAAACGGG